rnacentral:rRNA from 1 species
AUUGAACGCUGGCGGCAUGCUUUACACAUGCAAGUCGAACGGCAGCACGGACUUCGGUCUGGUGGCGAGUGGCGAACGGGUGAGUAAUACAUCGGAACGUACCCAGUAAUGGGGGAUAACUUGUCGAAAGAUUAGCUAAUACCGCAUACGCCCUACGGGGGAAAGAGGGGGAUCGCAAGACCUCUUGUUAUUGGAGCGGCCGAUGGCUGAUUAGCUAGUUGGUGGGGUAAAGGCCUACCAAGGCGACGAUCAGUAGCGGGUCUUAGAGGACGAUCCGCCACACUGGAACUGAGACACGGUCCAGACUCCGACGGGAGGCAGCAGUGGGGAAUCUUGGACAAUGGGCGAAAGCCUGAUCCAGCAAUGCCGCGUGCGUGAAGAAGGCCUUCGGGUUGUAAAGCGCUUUUGUCUGGGAGCAAAUCCUUGUGGCUAAUACCCACCGGGGAUGAGAGUACCAGAAGAAUAAGGACCGGCUAACUACGUGCCAGCAGCCGCCGUAA